rnacentral:rRNA from 1 species
AAGAGACAGCAGUCGCCGCGGUAACACGGAGGGUGCAAGCGUUAUCCGGAUUUAUUGGGUUUAAAGGGUCCGUAGGCGGAUCUGUAAGUCAGUGGUGAAAUCUCACAGCUUAACUGUGAAACUGCCAUUGAUACUGCAGGUCUUGAGUAAAUUUGAAGUGGCUGGAAUAAGUAGUGUAGCGGUGAAAUGCAUAGAUAUUACUUAGAACACCAAUUGCGAAGGCAGGUCACUAAGAUUUAACUGACGCUGAUGGACGAAAGCGUGGGGAGCGAACAGGAUUAGAGACCCGCGUAGUCCCUGUCUCUUAUAC